rnacentral:rRNA from 1 species
UAAAGCGAGUGUAGGUGGCUCAUUAAGUCACAUGUGAGAUCCCCGGGCUUAACCUGGGAACUGCAUGUGAUACUGGUGGUGCUAGAAUAUGUGAGAGGGAAGUAGAAUUCCAGGUGUAGCGGUGAAAUGCGUAGAGAUCUGGAGGAAUACCGAUGGCGAAGGCAGCUUCCUGGCAUAAUAUUGACACUGAGAUUCGAAAGCGUGGGUAGCAAACAGGAUUAGAUACCCUGGUAGUCCACGCCGUAAACGAUGUCUACUAGCCGUUGGGGUCCUUGAGACUUUAGUGGCGCAGUUAACGCGAUAAGUAGACCGCCUGGGGAGUACGGCCGCAAGGUUAAAACUCGAAUGAAUUGACGGGGGCCCGCACAAGCGGUGGAGCAUGUGGUUUAAUUCGAUGCAACGCGAAGAACCUUACCUGGUCUUGACAUAGUGAGAAUCCUGCAGAGAUGCGGGAGUGCCUUCGGGAAUUCACAUACAGGUGCUGCAUGGCUGUCGUCAGCUCGUGUCGUGAGAUGUUGGGUUAAGUCCCGCAACGAGCGCAACCCUUUUCCUUAUUUGCCAGCGGGUUAAGCCGGGAACUUUAAGGAUACUGCCAGUGACAAACUGGAGGAAGGCGGGGACGACGUCAAGCCAUCAUGGCCCUUACGACCAGGGCUACACACGUGCUACAAUGGUAGGUACAGAGGGUUGCUACACAGCGAUGUGAUGCUAAUCUCAAAAAGCCUAUCGUAGUCCGGAUUGGAGUCUGCAACUCGACUCCAUGAAGUCGGAAUCGCUAGUAAU